GUGAGAAGUUUCUAUCAUUGAGGAAAAGGUACAGAGUCGGAUGUUGCUGCUGUCUUAGAAGAGGACCUCCACAUUGCAAGGCCUUCAUUCGAGCAGGCUCGCUUCAAUCUGGUAUUUACAGCCCUACAAUGUCUGAACUGUAAACUACUGGUGGUUCACAGUGUUCCACAAAGAUUAACAAUGUGGGUCCCAGAAAGGUGGGCCUGCCUGUAUGGUUGCUGGACGCUUUUGAUACCUGUUCAUCAAGAAAACCUACUAUUUUAUGCUAAGAAAUAAAAAGCACUUUAAUUUUAUA